rnacentral:rRNA from 1 species
UUGGUGGCGAUGGCGGAGGGGAACCACGCGUACCCAUCCCGAACACGACCGUUAAGCCCUCCAGCGCCGAUGGUACUUGGACCGCAGGGUCCUGGGAGAGUAGGACGUCGCCA